AGACACGUCAUCAAUUCGAACACUGUAGGAGCGACACCUGUCCCUGGCUUCAAAACACACCGUUUCAUUUAUUGUGGAAAUCAAUUGAUGCGGGCUUGGGCCUUAAGUUUGGAUUGGAGGAAGAACCAUGCUUGGCAGCCCGAUAGAAUUCGAGGAUAAUCAUCUGUUAACGCCGUCUAAUAGAACUAGGGUCAUCUUCGCUCUUCGUUCGAUUGCUGCUUGCUCCUGAUCUUCAUCACUGAAAAGGUUGAUGUUAAAUCCCAACUGCAACCCUAGGAAACUCCGUGUUAAUUCCUAGGGUUCUUCGUGUUAAAUCCCAACCCUAGGAAACUCCAUCGAUGUUCUAGCCACUGCAGUUCUUCAUGUCUUCAUCUCACCUACAACAAAUAUCUUCGGGCGUUACAGAAUCAGUUGGAAUCCAAACGUCUUCUUUAACAGAAGAACUAACACCUGCUGUCCAUUCCUCCCACGAUUUAUAAUAAAAAAUGUAUGUUCUACAUUCUAAGAUUCAUCAGUUCAUUCUUCGCAGUUAAAAUCUUUCCAGAAAAUCCAACGACCAGAAUUGGCUAACUCCACUGUUCUCGCCUAAGGACAAACUUCUAAAGUAUGAUGAGUGCAUCAAGGACUGUAAUAAGGCUGUUGAACAUAGGAUAGGAACGGAACAACUCUUCGGAAGAUGGAAAAAGUCUUAGACAGACCAUGAACAUAUGAUUGAGACUUACCAGGCUGAAUGAAACUGAGAGAGUCAAGAAGGAAUUGGCGCAGAACGAGUAUUCUGAUCCCAGUAUUGGUGAGGCAGAGCGAGAGAAAGGUAUUUUGGUACAAUAUCUUGAUAACGCGAGUUAUACUAACAUCCUGUUGUGUUUGUAAUACAUGUAAUGAGUUAUUCAAGGAGCAGGAGGAGUAUCAUGAUGCUGUGAGAAAUCCAAAAGACCGGAGAGCUAGGGCCUACGGGAAUGCAAGAUCCGGCAAUCCAAGAACAUUCUCACAAAUCCUGUAAAAGACAGCAAUCCAUGUUGGUGUUAAGGAUGUCUCACCAAAAUCACCACUUCUCUUUGAACAUAUUCAGUCUGAUUUCCAAGAGAAUCCACCAACAUCACAAAAACACAUGCAGGCCCCGAUUUUCACGAAGAAAUACAAAAGCAUAUCAACUCAGGAAUUGGCAUGAUGAAAUAUCCUAAACACAGAGUUUUUACUUUUGUAACUCUAGAACCAAAAUCGAUUCUUCCAUUGUUUCAGGAUAAUCUGAGAUAACGUUUUCUUAUAUCAACUGUGCUUUUUGUAAAAUAGAGAUUUGAAUUGCUUAGAUUAUUGCGUAGCCCAAAACAGAUUCACAAAAAUUCUUCAGUACGAACGGUUAUUUCUGAACAAGAAAAAAAAAUUGUCUGAAACAUCAACUUUUCUUCCUUGAACGAAAGACCAGAGGAAAAUGCAAGCUCUUGGUUUUUGUUGAACUUUCAGCAGAGUACUUAGGUGACUGAUGAAGUUGGGGCUCAGGAGUAAGGACGAUGAGAUGGUUGUGCAGGAGCUUGAGGAACCGGAGCAGGGGUUUGGAGAGGAAAAAGAGAAGAAGGAUCGAGAUCUUUGAGGGCAGAUACGAUUCAGUCCACUACCAUGAUACGAGAGCUUUGGAAGCGAGUGUACGCACCGAGGCUCAGUUCCCAUAUAUUACUCAUUCCAUUUGGUGGAAAAUGAGUUAACCUAAAUAAAUACCAUUCUCACGUCAAGGAAGGAAUCACUAUGAUAUUCAAUAUUGGCUUAUUGGAAAGCAAAGUAUGUUUCAAAAUCACCAAGAGGAGCAUCUGUUAAUUUUAGAGAUGUAUAAUUUUGGGAUGAAUAUGAAGAUAAAUUACGAAGAAGAAAAUAUUUGGAGAGUGAAGUAUUAGGUGAACAAGUUCCAUAGAUUGGUGCGAGUGGAAACGUAUCUUGAUCCAAUGCAUUUCUAUUCUGAUAAACAGCGUAUUCCAAUUCUGAAGUAUGUUGUUCAUAUUGAAUAAAGUAUUGAUCAUAAUUAUAUAAAAAUGAUCAUUUCAAAAUAUGUAAAAAAUAUUAUAAAGUUAUACUUCAAUUGUACACAAAAUUUAUUUAUGUAAUUGAGAAUAGUUCUUUUAAGUUAAAGAA